AUUCAGAUGUGUUAUUGCAGUUGGAUAACAGCUGUGUUUGAGUCUAUUAGUCCUUGCUCUGAUUGCCCUGUACCGUCUGCCUUAGGGCAACAGUUCGAACAGGGAGUGGCCAGGAUGUGAGGUGUCUUUUAUGAUGUUUUGGGCCUUUUUUAAAACAGUGGGCGUUGUUUGACUCUUUACUAACUUUAAAACCCCACCAUAACAAUUUCUCACUGACAAACUUCUAUGCAUCCAUUUAAACAUGCGAAGCCAGCACAAAAUCACACACAUACCCCUACAGCAAAGCUUUAACAUAACCACAAUGCAACUCCUCCCUUAAACGGGAGAAAUCACCCUGAAUCAACCAACUCUAUAUAAAACGUCGAACAAAGAUAAACCACAAACAUUUCUACACUUCUGUGUCUUCCACGCAGCACAAUAGGCAGAAAAACACCGAUUACUCACAGUCUACAACAAAAGAAAAACCUGCUCUUUUCACAACUUUCACAGCUAAAGUCAAAACUCUUACCCAGUGCCUCUGAAAUAAUAAAAAAAAUCACCAAAUACUCGAUUACUCUUUUCACUCGCUCCCUCUCACUCCCUUCUUCCUCAUACAGCAUACACGCUCGCUCCCGCGGACCCGCUCGGCCCCGCGGGCUCACUCGGCCCCCACCUUUUUUCUCUCACAGAGACAGAGAGAGACCCUUUUCCUUUUUUUUUUUUUUUUUUUUUUACUUCGGUCUAUCUGCACAGAGUUUACCUCAUCUCUUUCCUUCUAUGGGCAUGCACACUUCCUGUCUCACACACACAGCCCCUCUCUCAGAGAGAGCAGAAAAGAGUUUUUCCUUUUUUCAACACUCAGGAGAAAUUCAACAGACAGUUUAUACCACUAUUUUACACUUUAUUUACACACACCGGUAAUUUAUGUUCUAUUUACACACGGGCCCGCAUAGACAUAUGCCAGAAGAGGUUACCCCUAACUUUUUGACUAAUUUAAAAGCAUCUUUCAGCUGUUUUCCUCAAUGACUCUUUCUGCUUUUUUGCUUCUUUAGGCUGGUGUGUGGAGUUGAUGACUGUCUCAACACAUGUUAAUUGUUCUCCCAAUGUGCUAAGAAUAACACCGGGACCCCAACCAUCAUCAUUAGUUUCUCGAUCUAAUUCUCCAUCCAUUUUACUGUCAAUGGAGGAGUGUUCUUUUAUUGAUUUUAAAGGAGAAUUUGGGCCAGCUGGGUUUCUGCCUCUGUUAGGCACUAAUCAGCUGGGGCGCUGCUUUAAAGGUGAGUCAGCACUGAAAUAUCCCUUCAGGUGUUACCAAGCUUCUACCAAACCGGAGUCUGGCGGGUAACCUUGCCUAGAGCUUCCUGAUAGGGGUGCUAGUUGGUUGUCACCUUGUUCACACGUCUCAUUCACACUUCAUACAUUACCUGCAGUCACUCAUUACCCUCCUUAUGUAUGUAAUAAAUGUGUAAAAAAAAAAAAAAAAAUUCUAUGUGUGGUGUAUUAUUUUAACCAAAAGAGGAACCUAGUUCCUUUAAUUGUGUAAUCUGUGAACAACGGAGAACCAAACUGUCCUGCCCAGUGUUCCACAGCAAGCAUUCAGCGUGUAUUUAUGUGUGUCCAAUAUCAAACAGAACAUCAAAACAUUUAAAACACUAAAAUCAUCGGGGUUUUAAGAAGAGAUCCGUUUUCUCCUAUUGAUCAAAGGGACCCCUCCUAUGGACUCCAACCAGUACUUCUCUUUUUUAAGUUUUAGAGGAUCUUUUCUAAUAAAG
ensembl:lncRNA